rnacentral:rRNA from 17 species
CUUGACCUCGGAUCAGGUAGG